ACGAACGCUGGCGGCGUGCCUAAUACAUGCAAGUCGAACGCUUCUUUUUCCACCGGAGCUUGCUCCACCGGAAAAAGAGGAGUGGCGAACGGGUGAGUAACACGUGGGUAACCUGCCCAUCAGAAGGGGAUAACACUUGGAAACAGGUGCUAAUACCGUAUAACAAUCGAAACCGCAUGGUUUUGAUUUGAAAGGCGCUUUCGGGUGUCGCUGAUGGAUGGACCCGCGGUGCAUUAGCUAGUUGGUGAGGUAACGGCUCACCAAGGCGACGAUGCAUAGCCGACCUGAGAGGGUGAUCGGCCACAUUGGGAUUGAGACACGGCCCAAACUCCUACGGGAGGCAGCAGUAGGGAAUCUUCGGCAAUGGACGAAAGUCUGACCGAGCAACGCCGCGUGAGUGAAGAAGGUUUUCGGAUCGUAAAACUCUGUUGUUAGAGAAGAACAAGGAUGAGAGUAACUGUUCAUCCCUUGACGGUAUCUAACCAGAAAGCCACGGCUAACUACGUGCCAGCAGCCGCGGUAAUACGUAGGUGGCAAGCGUUGUCCGGAUUUAUUGGGCGUAAAGCGAGCGCAGGCGGUUUCUUAAGUCUGAUGUGAAAGCCCCCGGCUCAACCGGGGAGGGUCAUUGGAAACUGGGAGACUUGAGUGCAGAAGAGGAGAGUGGAAUUCCAUGUGUAGCGGUGAAAUGCGUAGAUAUAUGGAGGAACACCAGUGGCGAAGGCGGCUCUCUGGUCUGUAACUGACGCUGAGGCUCGAAAGCGUGGGGAGCAAACAGGAUUAGAUACCCUGGUAGUCCACGCCGUAAACGAUGAGUGCUAAGUGUUGGAGGGUUUCCGCCCUUCAGUGCUGCAGCUAACGCAUUAAGCACUCCGCCUGGGGAGUACGACCGCAAGGUUGAAACUCAAAGGAAUUGACGGGGGCCCGCACAAGCGGUGGAGCAUGUGGUUUAAUUCGAAGCAACGCGAAGAACCUUACCAGGUCUUGACAUCCUUUGACCACUCUAGAGAUAGAGCUUCCCCUUCGGGGGCAAAGUGACAGGUGGUGCAUGGUUGUCGUCAGCUCGUGUCGUGAGAUGUUGGGUUAAGUCCCGCAACGAGCGCAACCCUUAUUGUUAGUUGCCAUCAUUUAGUUGGGCACUCUAGCAAGACUGCCGGUGACAAACCGGAGGAAGGUGGGGAUGACGUCAAAUCAUCAUGCCCCUUAUGACCUGGGCUACACACGUGCUACAAUGGGAAGUACAACGAGUCGCAAAGUCGCGAGGCUAAGCUAAUCUCUUAAAGCUUCUCUCAGUUCGGAUUGUAGGCUGCAACUCGCCUACAUGAAGCCGGAAUCGCUAGUAAUCGCGGAUCAGCACGCCGCGGUGAAUACGUUCCCGGGCCUUGUACACACCGCCCGUCACACCACGAGAGUUUGUAACACCCGAAGUCGGUGAGGUAACCUUUUGGAGCCAGCCGCCUAAGGUGGGAUAGAUGAUUGGGGUG
rnacentral:rRNA from 1 species